rnacentral:rRNA from 1 species
UACGUAGGGGGCAAGCGUUGUCCGGAUUUAUUGGGCGUAAAGAGCGUGUAGGCGGCCAGGUAGGUGGGUUGUGAAAACUCCAGGCUCAACCUGGAGACGCCACCCGAUACUGCUGUGGCUAGAGUCCGGUAGGGGAGCAUGGAAUUCCUGGUGUAGCGGUGAAAUGCGCAGAUAUCAGGAGGAACACCAGUGGCGAAGGCGGUGCUCUGGGCCGGAACUGACGCUGAGGAGCGAAAGCGUGGGGAGCAAACAGG